rnacentral:lncRNA from 1 species
GCUCGCGCUAUAAGGAUUAAGCAAAUGGAUCAAGGAAUUGAUAUUUUUUUCUCUAAUCGUAGUCAUGCUGUGAAAUUUGUGGAGUUUAUAGGGAAAGUGGUUCCAACUCGGAGCCGUAAUGAUAAACAACUGGUGUCUCAUGAUACCAAGAGCAGCAUCUUCUCUAAUCGAAGUCAUGCUGUGAAAUUUGUGGAGUUUAUAGGGAAAGUGGUUCCAACUCGGAGCCGUAAUGACAAACAACUGGUGUCUCAUGAUACGAAGAGCAGCAUUUACAACUACAAGUAUACUUUUUCAGUUGAAAUUUGCCCAGUUUGUCGUGAGGACUUGAUUUGUCUUCCGCCAAAAGUUAAAGAUGGUUUGGGGAAUCUAGGGCCACUUGUGAUCUGCACC